rnacentral:tRNA from 1 species
GGAGAGGUAGCGAAGUGGCUAAACGCGGCGGACUGUAAAUCCGUUCCCUCCGGGUUCGGUGGUUCGAAUCCACCCCUCUCCA